rnacentral:rRNA from 1 species
GAACGCUAGCUACAAGCUUAACACAUGCAAGUCGAGGGGCAGCAUGGUCUUAGCUUGCUAAGGCCGAUGGCGACCGGCGCACGGGUGAGUAACACGUAUCCAACCUGCCGUCUACUCUUGGACAGCCUUCUGAAAGGAAGAUUAAUACAAGAUGGCAUCAUGAGUCCACAUGUUCACAUGAUUAAAGGUAUUCCGGUAGACGAUGGGGAUGCGUUCCAUUAGAUAGUAGGCGGGGUAACGGCCCACCUAGUCUUCGAUGGAUAGGGGUUCUGAGAGGAAGGUCCCCCACAUUGGAACUGAGACACGGUCCAAACUCCUACGGGAGGCAGCAGUGAGGAAUAUUGGUCAAUGGGCGAGAGCCUGAACCAGCCAAGUAGCGUGAAGGAUGACUGCCCUAUGGGUUGUAAACUUCUUUUAUAAAGGAAUAAAGUCGGGUAUGCAUACCCGUUUGCAUGUACUUUAUGAAUAAGGAUCGGCUAACUUCGUGCCAGCAGCCGCGGUAAUACGGAGGAUCCGAGCGUUAUCCGGAUUUAUUGGGUUUAAAGGGAGCGUAGAUGGAUGUUUAAGUCAGUUGUGAAAGUUUGCGGCUCAACCGUAAAAUUGCAGUUGAUACUGGAUAUCUUGAGUGCAGUUGAGGCAGGCGGAAUUCGUGGUGUAGCGGUGAAAUGCUUAGAUAUCACGAAGAACUCCGAUUGCGAAGGCAGCCUGCUAAGCUGCAACUGACAUUGAGGCUCGAAAGUGUGGGUAUCAAACAGGAUUAGAUACCCUGGUAGUCCACACGGUAAACGAUGAAUACUCGCUGUUUGCGAUAUACGGCAAGCGGCCAAGCGAAAGCGUUAAGUAUUCCACCUGGGGAGUACGCCGGCAACGGUGAAACUCAAAGGAAUUGACGGGGGCCCGCACAAGCGGAGGAACAUGUGGUUUAAUUCGAUGAUACGCGAGGAACCUUACCCGGGCUUAAAUUGCAGAUGAAUUACGGUGAAAGCCGUAAGCCGCAAGGCAUCUGUGAAGGUGCUGCAUGGUUGUCGUCAGCUCGUGCCGUGAGGUGUCGGCUUAAGUGCCAUAACGAGCGCAACCCUUGUUGUCAGUUACUAACAGGUUCCGCUGAGGACUCUGACAAGACUGCCAUCGUAAGAUGUGAGGAAGGUGGGGAUGACGUCAAAUCAGCACGGCCCUUACGUCCGGGGCUACACACGUGUUACAAUGGGGGGUACAGAGGGCCGCUACCACGCGAGUGGAUGCCAAUCCCCAAAACCUCCCUCAGUUCGGACUGGAGUCUGCAACCCGACUCCACGAAGCUGGAUUCGCUAGUAAUCGCGCAUCAGCCACGGCGCGGUGAAUACGUUCCCGGGCCUUGUACACACCGCCCGUCAAGCCAUGGGAGCCGGGGGUACCUGAAGUGCGUAACCGCGAGGAGCGCCCUAGGGUAAAACUGGUGACUGGGGC